rnacentral:lncRNA from 1 species
UCCGAAGAUUGCGGUAGGAGGAGCUCGAGAAGAAAGUCCAAGAUAUCGAGCAUCGCCUUUGUGAAGUCUAAAGUGGGCGGCCUCAACUUCAACUCCCAACCUCCAUUUUCUCAGGCCAUUCUGGUCAACCUUGAACUGGUUCAAGAUACCUCAGCUGGAGCCAUAUCAUGGCUCCAUAGAUCUCCUCAAUCACUUCCAGGGUUAUGGAACCCUCAUGAUAUUGCAGGGCACCUUAAAUGCCCUCUUUUGUGUUGCCCAAGGUAUGGCUACCCAAGAGGAAGGGGGGUGAAUUGGGUA